AACGAACGCUGGCGGCAGGCCUAACACAUGCAAGUCGAACGCUCCGCAAGGGGAGUGGCGCACGGGUGAGUAACACGUGGGAACCUACCUUCUGGUACGGAACAACCAAGGGAAACUUUGGCUAAGACCGUAUACGACCUCCGGGUGAAAGAUUGAUCGCCGGAAGAGGGGCCCGCGUCCGAUUAGGUAGUUGGUGAGGUAACGGCUCACCAAGCCUUCGAUCGGUAGCUGGUCUGAGAGGAUGACCAGCCACACUGGGACUGAGACACGGCCCAGACUCCUACGGAGGCAGCAGUGGGAAUAUUGGACAAUGGGCGCAAGCCUGAUCCAGCCAUGCCGCGUGAGUGAUGAAGGCCUCGGUUGUAA
rnacentral:rRNA from 1 species